GAUGAACGCUAGCGACAGGCUUAACACAUGCAAGUCGAGGGGCAGCAAGAAUCGUAGCAAUACAAUUUGUUGGCGACCGGCGCACGGGUGAGUAACGCGUAUGCAACCUACCUAUCAGAGGGGGAUAGCCCGGUGAAAGCCGGAUUAAUACCGCAUAAAACAGGGGUCCCGCAUGGGAAUAUUUGUUAAAGAUUAAUUGCUGAUAGAUGGGCAUGCGUUCCAUUAGUUAGUUGGUGUAGGUAACGGCUCACCAAGACAUCGAUGGAUAGGGGUUCUGAGAGGAAGGUCCCCCACACUGGUACUGAGACACGGACCAGACUCCUACGGGAGGCAGCAGUGGGGGAUAUUGCACAAUGGGCGCAAGCCUGAUGCAGCAACGCCGCGUGAAGGAAGACGGUUUUCGGAUUGUAAACUUCUGUUCUUAGUGAAGAAGAAUGACGGUAACUAAGGAGCAAGCCACGGCUAACUACGUGCCAGCAGCCGCAGUAACC
rnacentral:rRNA from 1 species